rnacentral:rRNA from 1 species
UACGGGGGGAGCAAGCGUUGUUCGGAUUUACUGGGCGUAAAGCGUGCGUAGACGGCUAUUUAAGUCGGGUGUGAAAGCCCCGGGCUCAACCUGGGAAUUGCAUUCGAGACUGAGCAGCUAGGGUGCGGUAGAGGGAAGCGGAAUUUCCGGUGUAGCGGUGAAAUGCGUAGAUAUCGGGAGGAACAUCAGUGGCGAAAGCGGCUUCCUGGACCAGCACCGACGUUCAGGCACGAAAGCGUGGGGAGCAAACAGG